rnacentral:rRNA from 1 species
UACGGAGGGUGCGAGCGUUGUCCGGAAUCACUGGGCGUAAAGGGCGCGUAGGCGGUCUGCUAAGCGUGCGGUGAAAGCCUGGGGCUCAACCCCAGGUCUGCCGUGCGAACUGGUGGACUAGAGCACUGUAGAGGCAGGUGGAAUUUCGGGUGUAGCGGUGGGAUGCGUAGAGAUCCGAAAGAACACCGGUGGCGAAGGCGGCCUGCUGGGCAGUUGCUGACGCUGAGGCGCGACAGCGUGGGGAGCAAACAGG